AUUGAACGCUGGCGGCAGGCCUAACACAUGCAAGUCGAGCGGAUGAAGGGAGCUUGCUCCUGGAUUCCGCGGCGGACGGGUGAGUAAUGCCUAGGAAUCUGCCUGGUCGUGGGGGAUAACGUCCGGAAACGGGCGCUAAUACCGCAUACGUCUUGCGGGAGAAAGUGGGGGAUCUUCGGACCUCACGCUAUCAGCUGAGCCUAGGUCGGAUUAGCUAGUUGGUGGGGUAAAGGCAUACCAAGGCGACGAUCCGUAACUGGUCUGAGAGGAUGAUCAGUCACACUGGAACUGAGACACGGUCCAGACUCCUACGGGAGGCAGCAGUGGGGAAUAUUGGGCAAUGGGCGAAAGCCUGAUCCAGCCGUGCCGCGUGUGUGAAGAAGGUCUUCGGAUUGUAAAGCACUUUAAGUUGGGAGGAAGGGCAGUAAGUUAAUACCUUGCUGUUUUGACGUUACCAACAGAAGAAGCACCGGCUAACUUCGUG
rnacentral:rRNA from 1 species